CAGAGGUCUCCGUGUUCCUGA
rnacentral:miRNA from 1 species